UACGGGGGGGGCAAGCGUUGUUCGGAAUUACUGGGCGUAAAGGGCUCGUAGGCGGCCAACUAAGUCGGAUGUGAAAUCCCCAGGCUCAACCUGGGAACUGCAUCCGAUACUGGAUGGCUUGAAUUCGGGAGAGGGAUGCAGAAUUCCAGGUGUAGCGGUGAAAUGCGUAGAUAUCUGGAGGAAUACCGGUGGCGAAGGCGGCAUCCUGGACCGACAUUGACGCUGAGGAGCGAAAGCUAGGGGAG
rnacentral:rRNA from 1 species